AUGAACGCUAGCGACAGGCCUAACACAUGCAAGUCGAGGGGCAGCACAAGGAGCAAUCUGAGGUGGCGACCGGCGCACGGGUGAGUAACACGUAUGCAACCUGCCUGUAAGCGGGGAAUAACCCGUUGAAAGACGGACUAAUACCGCAUAAUACUAAAUUACUGCAUGGUAAUUAUUUAAACAUUUAUGGCUUACAGAUGGGCAUGCGCAUGAUUAGCUAGUUGGAGAGGUAACGGCUCCCCAAGGCAACGAUCAUUAGGGGUUCUGAGAGGAAGGUCCCCCACACUGGUACUGAGACACGGACCAGACUCCUACGGGAGGCAGCAGUGAGGAAUAUUGGUCAAUGGACGAGAGUCUGAACCAGCCAAGUCGCGUGCAGGAAGAAUGUCCUAUGGAUUGUAAACUGCUUUUGCAGGGGAAUAAAGUGCAUCACGUGUGAUGUUUUGUAUGUACUCUGCGAAUAAGGAUCGGCUAACUCCGUGCCAGCAGCUGC
rnacentral:rRNA from 1 species